UACGUAGGGUGCAGGCGUUAAUCGGAAUUACUGGGCGUAAAGCGUGCGUAGACGGUUACAUAAGUCGGGUGUGAAAGCCCCGGGCUCAACCUGGGAAUUGCAUUCGAGACUGCGUAGCUAGGGUGCGGAAGAGGGAAGCGGAAUUUCCGGUGUAGCGGUGAAAUGCGUAGAUAUCGGAAGGAACACCAGUGGCGAAAGCGGCUUCCUGGUCCAGCACCGACGUUCAGGCACGAAAGCGUGGGGAGCAAACAGG
rnacentral:rRNA from 1 species